UCAACCCAUGGCUGACGGAUCCCAUAUC
rnacentral:piRNA from 1 species